UAUCACGGGAGACACACGGCGGGUGCUAACGUCCGUCGUGAAGAGGGAAACAACCCAGACCGCCAGCUAAGGUCCCAAAGUCAUGGUUAAGUGGGAAACGAUGUGGGAAGGCCCAGACAGCCAGGAUGUUGGCUUAGAAGCAGCCAUCAUUUAAAGAAAGCGUAAUAGCUCACUGGUCGAGUCGGCCUGCGCGGAAGAUGUAACGGGGCUAAACCAUGCACCGAAGCUGCGGCAGCGACACUUUAGUGUUGUUGGGUAGGGGAGCGUUCUGUAAGCCUGCGAAGGUGGCCUGUGAGGGUUGCUGGAGGUAUCAGAAGUGCGAAUGCUGACAUAAGUAACGAUAAAGCGGGUGAAAAGCCCGCUCGCCGGAAGACCAAGGGUUCCUGUCCAACGUUAAUCGGGGCAGGGUGAGUCGACCCCUAAGGCGAGGCCGAAAGGCGUAGUCGAUGGGAAACGGGUUAAUAUUCCCGUACUUGGUGUUACUGCGAAGGGGGGACGGAGAAGGCUAUGUUGGCCGGGCGACGGUUGUCCCGGUUUAAGCGUGCAGGUGUGUGUUCCAGGUAAAUCCGGUUCACUUUAACACUGAGGCGUGAUGACGAGGCACCACGGUGCUGAAGUAACAAAUGCCCUGCUUCCAGGAAAAGCCUCUAAGCAUCAGGUAACAUCAAAUCGUACCCCAAACCGACACAGGUGGUCAGGUAGAGAAUACCAAGGCGCUUGAGAGAACUCGGGUGAAGGAACUAGGCAAAAUGGUGCCGUAACUUCGGGAGAAGGCACGCUGACACGUAGGUGAAGUGAUUUACUCAUGGAGCUGAAGUCAGUCGAAGAUACCAGCUGGCUGCAACUGUUUAUUAAAAACACAGCACUGUGCAAACACGAAAGUGGACGUAUACGGUGUGACGCCUGCCCGGUGCCGGAAGGUUAAUUGAUGGGGUCAGCGCAAGCGAAGCUCCUGAUCGAAGCCCCGGUAAACGGCGGCCGUAACUAUAACGGUCCUAAGGUAGCGAAAUUCCUUGUCGGGUAAGUUCCGACCUGCACGAAUGGCGUAAUGAUGGCCAGGCUGUCUCCACCCGAGACUCAGUGAAAUUGAACUCGCUGUGAAGAUGCAGUGUACCCGCGGCAAGACGGAAAGACCCCGUGAACCUUUACUAUAGCUUGACACUGAACAUUGAGCCUUGAUGUGUAGGAUAGGUGGGAGGCUUUGAAGCGUGGACGCCAGUCUGCGUGGAGCCAACCUUGAAAUACCACCCUUUAAUGUUUGAUGUUCUAACGUGGACCCGUGAUCCGGGUUGCGGACAGUGUCUGGUGGGUAGUUUGACUGGGGCGGUCUCCUCCUAAAGAGUAACGGAGGAGCACGAAGGUUGGCUAAUCCUGGUCGGACAUCAGGAGGUUAGUGCAAUGGCAUAAGCCAGCUUGACUGCGAGCGUGACGGCGCGAGCAGGUGCGAAAGCAGGUCAUAGUGAUCCGGUGGUUCUGAAUGGAAGGGCCAUCGCUCAACGGAUAAAAGGUACUCCGGGGAUAACAGGCUGAUACCGCCCAAGAGUUCAUAUCGACGGCGGUGUUUGGCACCUCGAUGUCGGCUCAUCACAUCCUGGGGCUGAAGUAGGUCCCAAGGGUAUGGCUGUUCGCCAUUUAAAGUGGUACGCGAGCUGGGUUUAGAACGUCGUGAGACAGUUCGGUCCCUAUCUGCCGUGGGCGCUGGAGAACUGAGGGGGGCUGCUCCUAGUACGAGAGGACCGGAGUGGACGCAUCACUGGUGUUCGGGUUGUCAUGCCAAUGGCACUGCCCGGUAGCUAAAUGCGGAAGAGAUAAGUGCUGAAAGCAUCUAAGCACGAAACUUGCCCCGAGAUGAGUUCUCCCUGAGACUUUAAGUCUCCUGAAGGAACGUUGAAGACGACGACGUUGAUAGGCCGGGUGUGUAAGCGCAGCGAUGCGUUGAGCUAACCGGUACUAAUGAACCGUGAGGCUUAACCUUACAACGCCGAAGCUGUU
rnacentral:rRNA from 1 species